UGAUUGAGUUGUCAUGGGUAUGUGCGCU
rnacentral:piRNA from 1 species